CCAAUAGCGUAUAUUAAAGUUGUUGCAGUUAAAAAGCUCGUAGUUGAAUUUCGGGGUUAGUAGGUUGGUCGUGCCACCGGUAUGUACUGGCUUUACUGAUCCCUCCUUCUUGUAGAACCGUAAUGCCAUUAACUUGGUGUUGCGGGGAAACAGGACUGUUACUUUGAAAAAAUUAGAGUGUUUAAAGCAGGCUAACGCUUGAAUACAUUAGCAUGGAAUAAUGAAAUAGGACGAUCGAUCCUAUUUUGUUGGUUUCUAGGAUUGACGUAAUGAUUAAUAGGGAUAGUUGGGGGCAUUAGUAUUCAAUUGUCAGAGGUGAAAUUCUUGGAUUUAUUGAAGACUAACUACUGCGAAAGCAUUUGCCAAGGAUGUUUUCAUUAAUCAAGAACGAAAGUUAGGGGAUCGAAGACGAUCAGAUACCGUCGUAGUCUUAACCAUAAACUAUGCCGACUAGGGAUCGGAUGAUGUUAAUUUUUUAAUGACUCAUUCGGCGCCUUACG
rnacentral:rRNA from 1 species